AAAAUCCCGUCUAACCUCAGAGUUCUCCCCUCUGAGCGUGAUCUCAAAAACAGUUUUAAGGUCUCCCAUAGUAGAUGCCUUAUUGGGUCCAGUGAAGAUUCUGCCCCCCAGAAGCGAUAGUGAAAGAGUGGAGUUGAAGGGAAGCCAGGGAACACCUCCAGGCCCGGCACAGAGAUCCGCUCGGUUCUGAGGAGCUGAGCCAGGUCGGGGGCUUGAGGGCCAGUGGCGGGACUCUCCUGGGCGACCCACAAGAGAAAUCGAGCCUGUUUCCUCAGAACGUUUGCUACGAGAAUUAGUCUUGGAGAGGGGAUGGAGGCUUGGGAUAAGGACAGGCGGUCGUGCCUCCGGGGGGACGCCACAAACCUGAUGGCCGCUCAUUGCAGAUAAGAAGGAAGAAAAACGGAGGCAUUCCCGAUCCCGGUCGCGCUCCCGGAGGAGGAGGACGCCUUCAUCUUCCAGGCACAGACGGUCGAGAAGCCGAUCCAGAAGAAGAUCUCAUUUCCAAAUCGAGAAGUAGGCGACGAUCGAAGAGUCCGCGCGGGAGGAGGUCCCAUUCCCGCGAGCGGGGCCGGCGGUCCCGGAGCACGUCCAAGACCAGGUGGGGCUCGGCCAAGGACCUUCCCAGCAGGCCAUGCGCUCCUCCUGGGCCUGGGUAAGGAGGCUCCCCCUCCUUUUGGGGGGGGGGGGGGCGCGGCUGGGCCUUUCCCAGAUUCCGGCUUAUCACAGGCUCUUCUCACAGUUUGGGGUUUUUUAGAUCAUGGGGGGUGGGGGGGGCUGUGGAAUCCCCAAUUGACACCCUUGUGAUGGCCUACAGUGGGAAAACCCCGUUUAGAGCAACGUUUUUGUCUCCUCGUAAGAGAACUGGAGAGUUUUACGUUGUCUGUGUGCGUCGGCAGAACCUCUGAGCCUUGUUUUUACUCCCACCUCAGAGACAAAAAGAAAGAAGAGAAAGAGAAGAAGCGUUCGAAAACGCCACCCAAAAGCUACAGCACCGCCCGCCGGUCACGGAGCACCAGCCGGUGAGUGGCUCGACGUUGAUCCGGGGCUGGCGAGCGCCGCCCGCCUCCCCGAGGUGGGAGCACCACCAGGGCAGCCCCAAAGGGCAGCGGGGCCUCCUCCAAGAUGCUGCUGCGGAGCUCCUGCUGGUCCUGAAAACCAACCCAAGUGGGGCAGCCUUCGGCAGCCCAUCCCCCAUCCCCAUCAGACUGUUCCUGCAUCACAUGACCUCCGACUCCUCAGCUGCUUUUAUUUAAGCCAAGGGCUGUGAAUCGAGCUGGGGGGGGGGGGGGGCGGCUUUUAAUUUUGGGCAACCAAAUUUCCUCCUCCCCAAGGGAACCCCCGCCCCAACUGGGGGGGGCUGGGGGGGCUCCAGCCCUUGGCACAGGGAGGACCUGGAGGAACAUCGGGUCCACCCCCCACCUUUUUCCUUUCAAGGAAAAACCCCCCCCGAGGAAUUCCAACGGCCCCCCCUCCCCCAAAAAACCCCCCUCCCCCAAAAAAAAACUGUCCCCCUCCCCCCCUCCCCCGAAGUAAAUUCCCCCGCCGGGCGGGGGGGGGGGAAAUGGGGGGCGGGGGGGCCUCUUAACCUCGGGCCUCCCCGUGUCUUCGGCCCCUAAAAUGGUAAAAAAAAGAGAAGGGCCAGGGGC
rnacentral:lncRNA from 1 species